CUGUCAUCAUUCAUUCCCUCUCAAGAUUAUGGUAGCCAUUGACUUCCAUAGCAUUUUUUCCAUACUAUAGACGUCCAUGGCUACCGUCAACUGGUUACCGACAUUCUUCAAAAUAUCUUAAAUUGUGCUCAAGAGAAGAAACUCAUACAGGUUUGGAACAACUUGAGGGUGAGUACAUUUUUGGGUGAAAUAUCCCUUCAAUCAUUUUGUAGCACCUGAGAUUUUUCACAUUUUAUGCAUAUUUACAUUAUUACAAGCAUCUUUCAACAGUUUUAAGACAAUCGUUGAUCAACAAUACACUCUCAGAGCAAAACAAAGGUGAAAUCUGAUUCACAUAUAACAGCAGUCUUUAUAGAGACAAAUACUAACUGAGAAGUUCGGCCACUUUCUCCAGUCCAGCGAUUCUGGGUGAAAGCAUUAAGCACUGUCUGUAAAGGUAUUAUGUUGAUAAUCUAUCUGCAUGGAAUCUGUCAGUAACGUCUAGGUUAUACGCAACCCUCAAAAAAUAAGAUAUUAUGUUGUCCAUAAUGAAAUUAAGCUUAUUUUAAGAGUAAGACAAAUAAGAUUUCUGCAUUGUGACAUUGUUUUCUAUACAAUUAAUGAAACAUUGUAUAAGUAUAUAAAAAUCACUAUAUGUUGGAUAUCAUUAUUGAUAAAUGAAACCGUUUUUACAAUUUCAGUCUUUACAAACAAAAUUUGGAAUUAAAGGGAUACUCCACCCCAAAAUGAAAAUUUUGUCAUUAAUCACUUAUCCCCAUGUAGUUCCAAACCCUUAAAAGCUCCAUUCGUCUUCGGAACACAAUUUAAGAUAUUUUGGAUGAAGCCCUGGAGGCCUGUGGCUGUCCCAUAGACUGCCAAGUAAAUAGCAAUGUCAAGGUUCAUUAAAGGUAUGAAAGUCGUCGUCAGAAUACUCCCAUCUGCCAUCAGACGUGCAAUCUGGGUUAUAAGAAGCGACGGGAACACUUUUUGUAAGCGAAGAAAACAAAAAUAAUGACUUUAUUCAAUAAUUCCUUUGUCAACGGUCUCCUCUGUCUCUCAUUAUCACCGUAUGCUGUGGAUGACACAGAAGAGACUGUUGGACUAUGGGACAGUCACAGGCCUCCAGGUUUUCAUCCAAAAUAUCUUAAAUUGUGUUCCGAAGACGAAUGGAGCUUUUAAGGGUUUGGAACUACAUGGGGAUAAGUGAUUAAUGACAAAAUUUCCAUUUUGGGCUGGAGUAUUCCUUUCAUUAUUUUUAAUGAAAAUUUCACAAUACAAAAUACAUAUUUUUUUUCCCUCCUUUUGAGAUUAGUGUCUUACACAUCUUACAUAUUCCUAUAUGGUUUCAUUGUACGCAAAGGGAUAGUUUACCCAAAAAUGAAAAUUCUCUCAUUAUUUACUCACCCUCAUGUUGUAAUUUCCUUGUUACGGUAUAUCGUAUACGUGACACCUUGUAUGUGUCAUUCACACAUGACUAGUGUUGAAAUUUCGCUUUGUGGAAUGCCGUUUGAGAAGCUUGUGAACUAAUGAAAUAGUUCUGCUUGUUACUAAAAAGAUGGUCUUAACACACUCAAAACCAGUGUUGGGGGUAACGCAUUACAAGUAACGCAAGUUACGUAAUCAGAUUACUUUUCUUAAAUAACUAGUAAAGUAACGCAUUACUUUUUAAUUUAGAAGGAAUUAUCUGAGUUACUUUUUCAAAUAAGUAACGGCAGUUACUUUGUUUCCUAUGUAUUGACUGACAGUUCUCGUGUUGCCAUGUUGAGAGAAAUCAGGAGUAAGUGCAGAGCGUUGUGUGUAAAUAAAGUUACUGUAGUUCUAGACUAAAUAUGAACA
ensembl:lncRNA